UACGGAGGGUGCAAGCGUUAAUCGGAAUUACUGGGCGUAAAGCGCGCGUAGGCGGCUUGAUAAGUUGGAUGUGAAAUCCCCGGGCUCAACCUGGGAACUGCAUCCAAAACUGUCUGGCUAGAGUGUGGUAGAGGGUAGUGGAAUUUCCAGUGUAGCGGUGAAAUGCGUAGAUAUUGGAAGGAACACCAGUGGCGAAGGCGGCUACCUGGACUAACACUGACGCUGAGGUGCGAAAGCGUGGGGAGCAAACAGG
rnacentral:rRNA from 1 species